rnacentral:sRNA from 1 species
GCGUUUGCGAGCCUCGGGUGGUCCUCAGGGAGGGUCUCUCGGCCAGAACGCGUGGAUGCCCACCCACCACUGAGCCUCAUGGAGGUGGUAACAUUUGGCGAUGUGGCUGUGCACUUCUCUCGGGAGGAGUGGCAGUGUCUGGACCCUGGCCAGAGGGCCCUCUACAGGGAAGUGAUGCUGGAGAACCACAGCAGUGUGGCUGGACUAGGUGAGGCUGCACUUCGGGGCCCCUUCCCCUGCAUCAUCAGUCAGCACCCACCCAGCCAGGCCUCCAUCAGAGGCUGGGAUAUGCAGGCCAAAUGCUCAGACUCCUGUGGGCUCCACAGGGGGCUUGGACUCAUGAGUGGUGUGCCAGGCUGGUUCCUAGCUUUGCCCAUGUCGUGGGGUUCAGCCCCCAGGGAGUGGGUGGGAUUCUGGGAGUUAGUAAAGCCUCUUUUUUUUCCUAACUGUUAAAUUGAGAGAAAUAGAAUCCAAACUUGAAACAGCUUAGACAAGAAAAGAGAAAUUAUUGGGUGGAGGAAUCUAAGGAAAAAGUUGUGCAACCAGAGCAAGAGGUGGCAGCGACGCCCACACGGCUGCUAUG